GGCCUCAGAACAGUAACCAUGGUAACCAAUGUGUUCUGAGCUAGUAGUGAUCUGUCAGGUAGUGGGUCGGAUGCUUUACACCUGUGAUCUCACUGACUUGUCUUGGAGCCCCACUGUCGGGAUCCCCAUUCUCAAGCAAGGAAAUGAAGCUUGGGAGGUUUUCAAAAUGCCCCUAAUGAACAGGGCUGCUGAGUAUCAGAACCAGGAUUCAAAUGCAGGAAGAGGAGACAGUGCACGGGGAGAGUGCCAUGGGUGAUGCGCCUACAAGCCAAAGAACAACCAUGAUUGCCACUGCCUGCAACACCAGAAGCUGAGAGAAAGGCAGGGCACUCCCUAAAGUCAUCACAGGGAGUUUGGCCCUGCAGGCACCUUGAUGUUGGACUUCUAACCUCCAUAGCCAUGCUAGAAUAAAUUUCUGUUGUUUUGA